GACGUAGGGCGCGAGCGUUGUCCGGAUUUAUUGGGCGUAAAGAGCUCGUAGGCGGUUUGUUGCGUCGGCUGUGAAAUCCCGAGGCUCAACCUCGGGUCUGCAGUCGAUACGAGCAAACUAGAGUGUUGCAGGGGAGACUGGAAUUCCUGGUGUAGCGGUGAAAUGCGCAGAUAUCAGGAGGAACACCGGUGGCGAAGGCGGGUCUCUGGGCCGAUACUGACGCUGAGACGCGAAAGCGUGGGGAGCAAACAGG
rnacentral:rRNA from 1 species